UACGGAGGGUGCAAGCGUUAUCCGGAAUUACUGGGCGUAAAGCGCGCGUAGGCGGCUUUGCAAGUCGGGUGUGAAAUCCCCAGGCUUAACCUGGGAACUGCAUUCGAGACUGCAUUGCUAGAGUAUGGGAGAGGGAAGUGGAAUUUCCGGUGUAGCGGUGAAAUGCGUAGAUAUCGGAAGGAACAUCAGUGGCGAAAGCGGCUUCCUGGACCAGUACCGACGUCAGGCACGAAAGCGUGGGGAGCAAACAGGA
rnacentral:rRNA from 1 species